GCUCUUGUAGUUCAGUUGGUUAGAGCACCCGUUUAGUAAGCGGGAGGUCUUGAGUUCAAAUCUCAACAAGUGCA